rnacentral:rRNA from 1 species
CAGCAGCCGCGGUAAUACGAAGGGCGCAAGCGUUACUCGGAAUUACUGGGCGUAAAGCGUGCGUAGGUGGUGGUUUAAGUCCGUUGUGAAAGCCCUGGGCUCAACCUGGGAAUUGCAGUGGAUACUGGGUCACUAGAGUGUGGUAGAGGAUAGUGGAAUUUCCGGUGUAGCAGUGAAAUGCGUAGAGAUCGGAAGGAACAUCUGUGGCGAAGGCGACUAUCUGGGCCAACACUGACAUUGAGGCACGAAAGCGUGGGGAGCAAACAGGAUUAGAUACCCCCGUAGUCCCUGUCUCUUAUAC